AUUUCUCGGCCUUUUGGUUAAGGUAAAAUGUAAUAUUUGUUGUUGUCAGUUUAAUAACUGAUUUAUAGACCAUAUGUUCACUUUGAUAUUAAAAUUAUUUUUUAUGGAUAUUAAAUAUGAGUGGGUGCCGUCGCAACGCAUAGGUAUUGGACUAGUAUAGCAUUAGAAGUAAGUUUUAACAACCCAUG
rfam:Zea mays cultivar B73 chromosome 1, whole genome shotgun sequence.